GGGGGGGGGGGGGGGGGGGGGGGGGGGGGGGGGGGCGGGCGGGGAGGGGGGGCGUUGGGGGGGGGGUCGGGGGGCGAGCGGGGGAGUGACGCGUGGGUAACCUGCCCUUGGCUUGGGGGUAACGUCAGGAAACUGGGGCUAAUGCCGGCUGGGAGCUCCUGCGGCAUGGUGGGGGUUGGAACGUUUCGGCGGUUGGGGAUGGACGCGCGGCUUAUCAGCUUGUUGGUGGGGUCGUGGCUUAUCCAGGCUUUGACGGGUAGCCGGCCUGAGGGGGUGACCGGCCACAUUGGGACUGAGAUACGGCCCAGACUCCUACGGGAGGCAGCAGUGGGGAAUAUUGCACAAUGGGCGGAAGCCUGAUGCAGCAACGCCGCGUGCGGGAUGACGGCCUUCGGGUUGUAAACCGCUUUCGCCUGUGACGAAGCGUGAGUGACGGUAAUGGGUAAAGAAGCACCGGCUAACUACGUG
rnacentral:rRNA from 1 species